ACGCUCGACACCUACGGGGGCAGCAGUGGGGAAUAUUGGGCAAUGGGCGCAAGCCUGACCCAGCAACGCCGCGUGAAGGAAGAAGGCUUUCGGGUUGUAAACUUCUUUUGUCAGGGAACAGUAGAUGAGGGUACCUGACGAAUAAGCUCCGGCUAACUACGUGUCAGCAGCCGCGGUAAUCUGAGCGGGCUGGCAAGGC
rnacentral:rRNA from 1 species